UACGUAGGGCGCAAGCGUUGUCCGGAAUUAUUGGGCGUAAAGAGCUCGUAGGCGGCUUGUCGCGUCUGUUGUGAAAGCCCGGGGCUUAACCCCGGGUCUGCAGUGGAUACGGGCAGGCUAGAGGCAGGUAGGGGAGAACGGAAUUCCCGGUGUAGCGGUGAAAUGCGCAGAUAUCGGGAGGAACACCGGUGGCGAAGGCGGUUCUCUGGGCCGAUACUGACGCUGAGGAGCGAAAGCGUGGGGAGCGAACAGG
rnacentral:rRNA from 1 species